rnacentral:rRNA from 1 species
UGCCCGCAAGGGAAUGUAGUGAGAGGUGCUGCAUGGCUGUCGUCAGCUCGUGUUGUGAAAUGUUGGGUUAAGUCUCGCAACGAGCGCAACCCCUAUCGUCUGUUGCCAGCAUUAAGUUGGGCACUCUGACGAGACUGCCUGGGUUAACCAGGAGGAAGGUGGGGAUGACGUCAAGUCCUCAUGGCCCUUAUGUCUAGGGCUACACACGUAAUACAAUGGCGCGUACAGAGGGAAGCGAACUCGCAAGGGGGAGCAAAUCUCAAAAAGCGCGUCUCAGUUCGGAUUGGAGUCUGCAACUCGACUCCAUGAAGUUGGAAUCGCUAGUAAUCGGAGAUCAGCACGCUCC